rnacentral:tRNA from 1 species
GGAAGAGUGGCCGAGUGGUUGAAGGCGCGACUCUCGAAAAGUCGUAAGGCAGAAAUGCCUUCGUGAGUUCGAAUCUCACCUCUUCCG